rnacentral:lncRNA from 1 species
AGUAACACUAACUUGAUUACAUUAAAAGAUAAGAAGUCUAAUGUUCUCUCCUCUUUUGUGUUGUUACUGCCAUAUAUAUGCACAUAGGAUGCAUAUAUUUUGACAUUUUAUUGGUGUAUACUAAUUGCACAAAACAAUGGGUUACAUUAUGAUAUUUUCAUAUAUGCAUAUAACAUGCUGUGGUUAUAGUCACCUCUCUUCCCCAUUAUUGUCUUUCCUCCCUACCCUGAGACUUUUGCACAUAGAUAUUAAAGACAAUAAUGAGGGGUUCUAAUUGUUUUCUGUAACCCCGUGAUGAAGUGAAGAGAAAGAAGAGACUGUAGUUACAGGGACUGUGGUAUUUACCUACAGUUACUAUGUGGGGUAUUAUUUAUCCCUGUAGGUUGACUCUAUUUUCACUGACUUGUGUCCUUACCAUGAAGUCAUCUCCUUGCCUCAGUCAGCUCUGCCUCAGCCCUUUAGGGUAUAUAUCUUGUGUGUUAUGAACCCAACAAUAGAAUUUAUAAUUAGUCGUCUCUAUACUUACCUUUUAAACAGUUAAGAGGAGAAAAGAAAAGAAAAGAUAUUUGUAUAGUCUCUUAUAGUUUUGUAUGCAGUUGCCCUGUUGGUCCCUAUCAGAUGUGUAGAUCUGAGUUAUCUUUUUCUUUCAGCCUGAAGAAAACUUAUAUAAUUGCAGCAAGUCAGGUCUGCUGAUAGCAACUGGUUUCACUCAUUGUGAUCUUGAGAUAAUCUUAGUUUUUCUUUGAAUUUUUUGUAAGAUAUUCUUGCUGCAUCGUAGUUUGAUUGUUGGGUUUUGUUUUGUUUCCUUAUCUAGCACGUAUAGUUCAACAAACCACUGUCUUCGGGAAGCCACAUAGUGACACUGACCUUAUUGUGAAUCACAUAAACAUGAUGCUGCCUUUAAGGUUUUGUUUGAGAUUUUGAAUAGUUGUGACUUGAUAUGUUUCUUCUUGUAUUUCUUCUGCUUGCAGUUUAUCAAAGGACCCUUCAGCCAACUAUUCAUAUUCAGCUAGAUAUAACCCAUUUCUGGAAUUGGACAUUUUACUUGGUGGUGAAAGAGAUCUAGUUGGGGCAUUGGCUCCACCCUUUAUUUGGUGACUUCAUGAACACUUCUUUCAAAUAUGUAUAUAUUUUAGGAGGCUUCUAGGGUACAGGCUUCCAUAUGACCCCUCAGAUAGCCUUUAGUGUUAGUCAUCCCUCCCCAUGCUCUUUCUCUUCCCUUUCUCAUCCACCCCUCCCCAUUUAAUUCUUCCACUACAUCCUCUCUCCUGCCUCUCCAAUCUAAUAAUCCAUUUCUCCUUCUUUGAGAUAGCCUCCCUUCCCCAAGACUCUUACUUGGAACAUAAACUCUGUGGUCAUAUAUACUUAUUAAACAUUUAGAAAGUCAUAUGCACAUAUAAGUGAAACAUAAAAUUUGUCUUUUUGGGUCUGGACUACCUCACUCAGGAUUGUUUGGGGUUUUGUUUUUGUUUUGUAGACCCAUCUAUUUACCUGAAAUUUUCAUAAUUUUGGUUUUUUAAUAGCUUAGUAAUAUUCCAUUGUGCAAUAUAGUACAUUUUCACAUUCAUUCAUCAGUUGGUGGACAUGUAAGCUAUUUCUAAUUUCUUGCUCUUACAUAUAGAGCCGUGAUAAACAUGGAUAAGCAAGUCUUUCUGUGGUAGGAUGUAGAGUCCUUGGGUAUAGGCUCAAGAGUGGUAUAACUAGAUCUUGAUGUAGACCUAUGGCCAGCCUCUUAAGAAACUACCACAAUAAUUUCCUUUGUGGUUGUACAAGUUUGCCCUCUCAUGAGCAAUGAAGAGAUGUUCCCUUUCCCAACAUCCUUGACAGUAUAAGCUGUCAUUUGCUUUAUUGAUCUUGGUAAUUAGUACUGCUUUAAGAUGAAAUCUCAAAGUAGUUUUGAUUCUCAUUUACCUGAUGACUAAGGAUGCUGAACAUUUAAGUGUUUCUUGGUCAUUUUCAUUUCAUCCUUUGAAAACUCUCUGCUUUAGUCUGCACCCCCAUUUUUUAAAAUUGGCUUGUUUUCUUGAUGCCAAGGGUUUUUCAUAUUUCUUUACAUAUUUUAAAUACAAACCCCCUAUCAGAUGUGAAAGUUCUAU